rnacentral:rRNA from 1 species
AUUGAACGCUGGCGGCAGGCUUAACACAUGCAAGUCGAGCGGGGUGAGGUGCUUCGGUACUGAUCCUAGCGGCGGACGGGUGAGUAAUGCUUAGGAAUCUGCCUAUUAGUGGGGGACAACAUUCCGAAAGGAAUGCUAAUACCGCAUACGCCCUACGGGGGAAAGCAGGGGAUCUUCGGACCUUGCGCUAAUAGAUGAGCCUAAGUCGGAUUAGCUGGUUGGUGGGGUAAAGGCCUACCAAGGCGACGAUCUGUAGCGGGUCUGAGAGGAUGAUCCGCCACACUGGGACUGAGACACGGCCCAGACUCCUACGGGAGGCAGCAGUGGGGAAUAUUGGACAAUGGGGGGAACCCUGAUCCAGCCAUGCCGCGUGUGUGAAGAAGGCCUUUUGGUUGUAAAGCACUUUAAGCGAGGAGGAGGCUACCGAGAUUAAUACUCUUGGAUAGUGGACGUUACUCGCAGAAUAAGCACCGGCUAACUCUGUGCCAGCCGCCGCAGUAAAAC